GACGAACCACACAAACGUUAUUCGGAAUUACUGGGCUUAAAGGGUGCGUAGGCGGCGCGGAAAGUAGGGUGUGAAAUCCCUCGGCUCAACCGAGGAAUUGCGCCCUAAACUACCGUGCUCGAGGGAGAUAGAGGUGAGCGGAACUUAGGGUGGAGCGGUGAAAUGCGUUGAUAUCCUAAGGAACACCGGUGGCGAAAGCGGCUCACUGGAUCUCUUCUGACGCUGAGGCACGAAAGCUAGGGUAGCAAACGGG
rnacentral:rRNA from 1 species